GCACCAAUAACUCAACGGAUAGAGUAACAGCCUUCUAAGCUGUAAAUAAGAGUUCGAUUCUCUUUUGGUGUA
rnacentral:tRNA from 1 species